UGUGAAUCACUGAUCUCUAUGCAAUACACUGGACAGGGGAUAGGCCGAAAAGCAUUGUGAGUAUUUGAACGCUUGGCAACGUUGUCGCGGUUUGUGUAUAUUCGACACGUAAAUGUGACAACAAUGUAUCAGGUUUGUGUACUUUCUGAUUGAUGUUUCGGCGACCUAUUUCGGAUAGUGCACUAAAUUGUGUUAUUCAAGUGAAUCGAAUCUUUCAAAAAGGUUAUGCAAUGCUCAUAUUGUGGGAACGAAGUCGACAGUGGGCGAACAUUCCAUCAGUUUCCAUUAAAUCAACCAGAAUUACUCAAAUCUUGGCUGGAGAAUGUCAAUCUAGGUGACCACUUCGAACCAUCGAAGAGCGUGAGAUUGUGCUCCGUUCACUUCACAGCCCAAUGUUUUCAGAAAACAGGGGUCAACGUAAAACUGAUCCAUGAAAGUAUUCCCACUGUGCAUAUUGUUCCUCUAUAAAAAUUUCUAAAGAUAAUCUUACAUUACACAAGUGAUUCUGACUCUGAACUCAUCAACAUUUUAUACAUGAACUAAUGAAAUUAUAGUAUGACUUGUAUGUCCAGUAAAGUCCAAAUGUUUUUUUUAGUAUGCAUGCAUCAUGACUAAGUUCUUAACUUUUAAAAUCCCUACUUAGAAACCCAGUAUUACUGAAAAAUCGGAUUCUGGCUAUCGGCAAAGAGAAUUACACACCUGAAGAAACAAGUCGCCUUUGCUCCAAUCAUUUUGAGAGAACCUGCUUUCGUUCCUCGGGUUGUAAGGGAUCACUCCUUUUGAGAAAUACGGCAGUCCCCACUAUAUUUCUACCCAUUCUAUCUGAAGGAAUACCUGUUCCUGGAAAACAGAGAAUGCAUUGCAAAAUUCACCAACGAAAUAUCCUAGACUAGCAACAUCCCAUGAAACACCAGUUAUAGAGACAGCAGAGCAUUAAAUACCUAGCCUUGAAGACAUAGUAUUGGCAAGUACUUUAAAGAAAAUGCCCGUUCCAGCAGUGACUACACCAAAUCGGACCACCCAGCCAAUAGAACCAAUUACCGGAAAAUGGCUUCUUCUCGCCAAACAUGACCACCACUAUGAGAGCACACCUAGAACCACCAGAAGGAAGCUUAUAGUGACAAAUAAGAAAAUGAAGAUCUUGCAGGAGGAAGUGCGAGUUCACAAGCAGCGAAUCAAUAGAUUGAAGAAGAGGAUUCAUUCCCUCAAAGAUAUUGCAUUCCCAGAAAAAAGUACCCAACGGCUAUGACGCUCCAUUUCUACUCACCCAAGGCAUGCGGUUUUGUGCGCAGAA
rnacentral:misc_RNA from 1 species